rnacentral:rRNA from 1 species
GCUGGCGGCAUGCCUAACACAUGCAAGUCGACCGAGACCUUCGGGUCUAGUGGCGCACGGGUGCGUAACGCGUGGGAAUCUGCCCUUGGGUGCGGAAUAACUUCCCGAAAGGGAUGCUAAUACCGCAUAAUGUCGCAAGACCAAAGAUUUAUCGCCCAAGGAUGAGCCCGCGUAGGAUUAGCUAGUUGGUGGGGUAAAAGCCUACCAAGGCGACGAUCCUUAGCUGGUCUGAGAGGAUGAUCAGCCACACUGGGACUGACACACGGCCCACACUCCUACGGGAGGCAGCAGUGGGGAAUAUUGGACAAUGGGCGAAAGCCUGAUCCAGCAAUGCCGCGUGAGUGAUGAAGGCCUUAGGGUUGUAAAGCUCUUUUACCCGGGAUGAUAAUGACUGUACCGGGAGAAUAAGCUCCGGCUAACUCCGUGCCAGCAGCCGCGGUAAUACGGAGGGAGCUAGCGUUGUUCGGAAUUACUGGGCGUAAAGCGCGCGUAGGCGGUUUUUUAAGUCAUAGGUGAAAGCCCGGGGCUCAACCCCGGAAUUGCCUUUGAAACUGGAAAACUUGAAUCUUGGAGAGGUCAGUGGAAUUCCGAGUGUAGAGGUGAAAUUCGUAG